rnacentral:rRNA from 1 species
GAUGAACGCUAGCGGCAGGCCUAAUACAUGCAAGUCGAACGAGAUUACGAGGCUUGCUUCUUAUGAAAGUGGCGCACGGGUGCGUAACGCGUAUGCAACCUACCUUAAUCAGGGGGAUAGCCCGAAGAAAUUCGGAUUAAGACCGCAUAAAAACACAGGAUAGCAUUAUCCAAUGUUCAAAUAUUUAUAGGAUUAAGAUUGGCAUGCGUGUCAUUAGCUAGUUGGCGGGGUAACGGCCCACCAAGACGGGGAUGACUAGGGGAUCUGAGAGGAUCCCCCCCCAGAGGGGGACUGGGACAAGACGCAUACGCCAAGGGGCAGAGGGGAAAGGGGGAAAUGGGCAGGGAGGGGGAUCCAGAACCGGCCAGGCCGGGGGGAAGAAGCCCGGCCUUGGGGGAGUAAACUGCUUUUAUGAAGAGAUAAACCUUUCUACGUAGAGGGAGUGAAGGUACCCGAAGAAAAAGGAACGGCUAACUCCGGG